AAAAUUAAUUAUUAAAUAUAAUCAAAUAAUUUUGAUGGGAAUAAGAUCCUUCUAGGUCUAUGAACUUUUAAUUUAUUUUGAACCACUCCAUCGUUUACUUUGAACUAUAAUGCAUUUUUCAAACUGACUCAACAGUUUCCUUGAACAAUAGACCACUGCAGGGUUUCAUAAUUGGGAGACCAAAGUCAGCCAAUAGGCAAGAAGACGUAAUCUCGUUUUAUGGAUUACAUGUUCUCCCUUAGAGAUGAAACCAUUGGUUGCAAAGACCGGAUACAACCACAACUAUAUGGUGUAUAGGGGUAAUCUCUCGCUCAUAUGCACGCCACACCCCCAAUGAUCUCUCGCAUUCCCACUGAUAUCGGGUGGUCCUAGUUUCCCUCCAGCCGGG
rnacentral:lncRNA from 1 species